AGAGUUUGAUCCUGGCUCAGAUUGAACGCUGGCGGCAUGCCUUACACAUGCAAGUCGAGCGGCAGCGCGGGGGCAACCCUGGCGGCGAGCGGCGCACGGGUGAGUAAUGCAUCGGAACGUGUCCUCUUGUGGGGGAUAACCAGUCGAAAGACUGGCUAAUACCGCAUGAGAUCGCGAGAUGAAAGCAGGGGACCGCAAGGCCUUGCGCGAGAGGAGCGGCCGAUGCCGGAUUAGCUAGUUGGUGGGGUAACGGCCCACCAAGGCGACGAUCCGUAGCUGGUCUGAGAGGACGACCAGCCACACUGGGACUGAGACACGGCCCAGACUCCUACGGGAGGCAGCAGUGGGGAAUUUUGGACAAUGGGGGCAACCCUGAUCCAGCCAUGCCGCGUGUGUGAAGAAGGCCUUCGGGUUGUAAAGCACUUUCGGCCGGAACGAAAUCGCGCGAUCUAAUAAGUCGCGUGGAUGACGGUACCGGAAGAAGAAGCACCGGCUAACUACGUGCCAGCAGCCGCGGUAAUACGUAGGGUGCGAGCGUUAAUCGGAAUUACUGGGCGUAAAGUGUGCGCAGGCGGCCGCGCAAGUCGAGUGUGAAAGCCCCGAGCUUAACUUGGGAAUUGCGCUCGAAACUACGUGGCUGGAGUGUGGCAGAGGAAGGUGGAAUUCCAGGUAGCGGUGAAAUGCGUAGAGAUCUGGAGGAACACCGAUGGCGAAGGCAGCCUUCUGGGCCAACACUGACGCUCAUGCACGAAAGCGUGGGGAGCAAACAGGAUUAGAUACCCUAGUAGUCC
rnacentral:rRNA from 1 species